GCAUCUCCAAACUAUUCUGGCUGUUUCCAUUUACAGCUGGGAGUCAUCUGGGACCGAGGCAGCUGAGGACGUUAUUAAUGCAGGGAGAUAGCGACUCUGCCGGGGCAGGAAACCAGUUGCUCUGGGAGGAUGAAAAUAUUCUCCUCCCCUUUUAUUUGCCGUGCAACUCUUUGCUUUGGAGUAAAUGGAAGAAGACAGCGGACUAAGUCGCAGAGUCCCGGCCGGUGGACGUGAUUGCUAGCAGGUGGUCCUUCAAACGCUCAUGGGUCGGAGAACACGCUGUACACGAGACUGCAGCGAUCGCGCCUUCCCCCGGAGAUCAAUACCUGCGCUCGUCCACUCGGCCCGCAUUCUGCUUGACGGGCUGCAGGGACUGAUAACGAGGAAGAAGAAGACCAAGAAGCGGGAGAUUGCGAGGAGACGACUUGUGCGGGGAAUGACAACAAGAUCCAUUUAGAAUGGCUUUUAUACGCCCCCU